AAUAAUAAUUCUUUAGGUAUGAUCCAGAGUACCACGGGACACAGUAAAACGCUGUGGUAAUCAGUAGGGACCACCCUCCAAUGAUAAAUACUACCUAGUGACCGAGAGCGUAUAGUACCGUGAGGGAUAGGUGAAAAUAACCCCGGGAGAGUAGUUAAAUUGACCCUGAAACCCUGCACUUACAAGCUGUGGAAGCACAUUUCUUGUGUGACCGCGUACUCUUUGUAGAACGGGCCAACGAGUUACGUUCAGUAGCAAGGUUAAGCACUUAAGGUGCGGAGCCGGAGCGAAAGCGAGAUUUAAAUGAGCGUUCAGUUACUUGACGCAGACCCGAAACCGGGCGACCUACCCAAGAGCAGGAUGGAGCGAAAGUAAAAUUUCGUGGAGGUCCGAACCCACGAGCGUUCACAAGCCCCGGGAUGACUCGAGGCUAGCGGUGAAAUUCCAAUCGAGCCCGGAGAUAG
rnacentral:rRNA from 1 species